rnacentral:lncRNA from 1 species
AAACCCUUGGAAAGCAGUUACACCAGCAGCUGUAUAAAUAGCAGCUAAUUGGGAAGUUUCGGGAACCCCGGUUUUUCCACGCUUAUAUUGCCGAAGCUCUGCCAAUUUUCUUUUCACGCUUUUGCUUAUUUUUUCUUUUCCAGCACUUAACAUUGUUUAUUUUAUUUAUUUUCUUUUGCAAGUUCUACAUUCUUUUUUUUUCCCUUGCAAUUAUAUUGCCGAAGCUCUGCCAAUUUUCUUUUCACGCUUUUGCUUAUUUUUUCUUUUCCAGCACUUAACAUUGUUUAUUUUAUUUAUUUUC